rnacentral:rRNA from 1 species
UACGUAGGGGGCAAGCGUUAUCCGGAAUUACUGGGUGUAAAGGGUGAGUAGGCGGCAUGGUAAGCCAGAUGAAAGCCUUGGGCUUAACCCGAGGAUUGCAUUUGGAACUAUCAAGCUAGAGUACAGGAGAGGAAAGCGGAAUUCCUAGUGUAGCGGUGAAAUGCGUAGAUAUUAGGAAGAACACCAGUGGCGAAGGCGGCUUUCUGGACUGAAACUGACGCUGAGGCACGAAAGCGUGGGGAGCGAACAGG